AACGAACGCUGGCGGCAGGCUUAACACAUGCAAGUCGAGCGCCCCGCAAGGGGAGCGGCAGACGGGUGAGUAACGCGUGGGAAUCUACCCAUCUCUACGGAAUAACGCAUGGAAACGUGUGCUAAUACCGUAUACGUCCUUCGGGAGAAAGAUUUAUCGGAGAUGGAGGAGCCCGCGUUGGAUUAGCUAGUUGGUGGGGCAAAGGCCGACCAAGGCGACGAUCCAUAGCUGGUCUGAGAGGAUGAUCAGCCACACUGGGACUGAGACACGGCCCAGACUCCUACGGGAGGCAGCAUUGGGGAAUAUUGGACAAUGGACGCAAGCCUGAUCCAGCCAUGCCGCGUGAGGUAUGAAGGCCCUAGGGUUGUAAAGCUCUUUCACCGGUGAAGAUAAUGACGGUAACCGGAGAAGAAGCCCCGGCUAACUUCGUGCCAGCCGCCGCCGUAACAC
rnacentral:rRNA from 1 species